rnacentral:tRNA from 1 species
UGAAAAAUGGCUCAGUUGGUAGAGCAUGGGAUCCUUAAUCCCAGGGCCAGGGAUUCAAGCCCCACGUUGGGCAU